UCCCGAUUGGUGUAGUGGUUAACAUUUCGGAUUCUCAAGCCUGCCUAACAAGUAACUUGAAGAACCUCCGGAGCCAAGGGUUCGAUUCCCUUAUCGGGAA